UGGGGAAUAUUGCACAAUGGGCGCAAGCCUGAUGCAGCAACGCCGCGUGAACGAUGAAGGUCUUCGGAUCGUAAAGUUCUGUUGCAGGGGAAGAUAAUGACGGUAUCAUAGGAGGAAGCCCCGGCUAAAUACGUGCCAGCAGCCGCGGUAAUACGUAUGGGGCGAGCGUUGUCCGGAAUUAUUGGGCGUAAAGGGUACGUAGGCGGUCUAUUAAGUCAGGUGUGAAAGCGUGAGGCUUAACCUCAUUAAGCACUUGAAACUGAUAGACUUGAGUGAAGGAGAGGAAAGUGGAAUUCCUAGUGUAGCGGUGAAAUGCGUAGAUAUUAGGAGGAAUACCGGUGGCGAAGGCGACUUUCUGGACUUUUACUGACGCUCAGGUACGAAAGCGUGGGGAGCAAACAGG
rnacentral:rRNA from 1 species